UACGAAGGGGGCUAGCGUUGCUCGGAAUCACUGGGCGUAAAGGGUGCGUAGGCGGGUCUUUUAAGUCGGGGGUGAAAUCCUGGAGCUCAACUCCAGAACUGCCUUCGAUACUGGAAGACUUGAGUCCGGGAGAGGUGAGUGGAACUGCGAGUGUAGAGGUGAAAUUCGUAGAUAUUCGCAAGAACACCAGUGGCGAAGGCGGCUCACUGGCCCGGUACUGACGCUGAGGUGCGAAAGCGUGGGGAGCAAACAGG
rnacentral:rRNA from 1 species